AAGUGAAGAAGCAAACAUUGCAAUCAGCUUCGACCUGAUCUUAGAUAAGAAAUUAUCCUCACUUU
rnacentral:tRNA from 1 species